rnacentral:rRNA from 1 species
ACGGAAGGCAGCAGUAAGGAAUCUUGCAUAAUGGGGGAAACCCUGAUGCAGCAACGCCGCGUGAUUGAUGAAGGCCUUCGGGUUGUAAAAAUCUGAUCUAAGGGAAGUAACAAAUGACGGUACCUGAGGAGAAAGCCCCGGCUAACUACGUGCCAGCAGCCGCGGUAAUACGUAGGGGGCAAGCGUUAUCCGGAAUUAUUGGGCGUAAAGAGUGCGUAGGUGGUUACCUAAGCGCAAGGUUUAAUCUUGAGGCUUAACCUCAUUCUGCCUUGCGAGCUGGGCUACUUGAGUGCAGGAGGGGAAAGCGGAAUUCCUAGUGUAGCGGUGAAAUGCGUAGAUAUUAGGAAGAACACCGUUGGCGAAGGCGGCUUUCUGGACUGUAACUGACACUGAGGCACGAAAGCGUGGGGAGCAAACAGGAUUAGAUACCCUGGUA